rnacentral:rRNA from 1 species
UACGUAGGGUGCGAGCGUUGUCCGGAAUUAUUGGGCGUAAAGAGCUUGUAGGCGGUUUGUCGCGUCUGCUGUGAAAAUCCGGGGCUCAACCCCGGACUUGCAGUGGGUACGGGCAGACUAGAGUGUGGUAGGGGAGACUGGAAUUCCUGGUGUAGCGGUGAAAUGCGCAGAUAUCAGGAGGAACACCGAUGGCGAAGGCAGGUCUCUGGGCCACUACUGACGCUGAGAAGCGAAAGCAUUGGGGAGCGAACAGGAUUAGAUA